rnacentral:misc_RNA from 1 species
GAUGAAGAACGCAGCGAAAUGCGACAAGUAAUGUGAAUUGCAGAAUUCAGUGAAUCAUCGAAUCUUUGAACGCACAUUGCGCCCGCCAGUAUUCUGGCGGGCAUGCCUGUCUGAGCGUCAUUUCAACCCUCAUGCCCCUAGGGCGUGGUGUUGGGGAUCGGCCAAAGCCCGCGAGGGACGGCCGGCCCCUAAAUCUAGUGGCGGACCCGUCGUGGCCUCCUCUGCGAAGUAGUGAUAUUCCGCAUCGGAGAGCGACGAGCCCCUGCCGUUAAACCCCCAACUUUCCAAGGUUGACCUCAGAUCAGGUAGGAAUACCCGCUGAACUUAAGCAUAUCAAUAAGCGGAGGA